AAGAGUCUGGGUUUGUUUCUCUGCUGCCUCGUUCUUGGCAUCUUUCUUCCAUCUCGCUGACUUCCUCAAUCGACUCCAUUAAACACAGAUUACAGUCUUCCCUAUGGAAGCGUAAGCUAUGUAUGGAGGACCCAUGUCUGCUUGUUCGCUGAUGUAUCCCUGGUGCUUAGAAGAGGACUUGGAAUAUGUGCUCAUGGUUCUUGGAGGGAUGACCAGGCAUCCUGAGGUCCUGGUGAUAGGUGACUGUAUUCCUGAUGAGUGAGUUGCUAAUAGAACAUGCCAAGAAAUAAUAAGCUAAUCCAUGCUACUGCCAGCAUAGAAAGCUGGUGGGCUUUUAAUUACCUGUGUUCACAGAACAAAAGGAAGCUACAGUGUGUUUGAAUUCCUUGAAUCCAUUCUGUCAGAGUGUGGGGAAAGGAGCUGAAAAUAUUCUAACCAGCAGGGAAGAAAAUCAACAGCUUGGGAUUCCUGAGAAUACCUGGGGAAGAUGAUCUUCAAUCAGCCAACACUUGCUGAGCACCAACUGUCCAUAAAAGUCACCAUGCUUGGCAACAUGUAUGAUGCAAAGAA
ensembl:lncRNA novel transcript